CAGAAACUGAACAGCUAGAGUACGGGAGAAGUAAGUGGAACUCCAUGUGUAGCGGUGAAAUGCGUAGAUAUAUGGAAGAACACCAGUGGCGAAGGCGACUUACUAGCCCGAGACUGACGCUCAGUCACGAAAGCGUGGGUAGCAAAUAGGAUUAGAUACCCUAGUAGUCCACGCUGUAAACGAUGAAAACUAAGUAUUGCCGCGAGGCAGUGCUGUAGCUAACGCAUUAAGUUUUCCGCCUGGGGAGUACGCUCGCAAGAGUGAAACUUAAAGGAAUUGACGGGGGCCCGCACAAGCAGUGGAGCAUGUGGUUUAAUUCGACGCUACGCGAAGAACCUUACCAGGACUUGACAUGGAAUUUAAAACUUUAGAAAUAGAGCCAUAUACAAGUUCACACAGGUGGUGCAUGGUUGUCGUCAGCUCGUGUCGUGAGAUGUUGGGUUAAGUCCCGCAACGAGCGCAAC
rnacentral:rRNA from 1 species